UUCAAUUCUGCAGCGCGGAGAGGGCACUCCGGGCUGCUUGGGAAGGCAGCUGGCCCCUGGAUAAGGCUCUGCCGGGCUCCCUGUGCACUGCUCCUGGCGAGCAAGCCCGGCAACCUGAGCAGCCUCUCGUAUGAUGCCACCUCCUGCUUCCUCACUGCCCAACCCGGCAGUCCGCCUGACUCUCUGGCCGUUGGUCUCCAGUGCCCUGGAAACAUCCUCACCUUCUACCUCGCCUGUCAAAAGAGCAAGAAGAUCAACACAGCAGGAGAUGGCUCCUCAGCAUUUGAAAACUCAGAGUGUCAGCAUCCUCCUCCUCUUCCUUCCAGGCAAAUAAGGUCUAGGGUCACCUGGGUGGCUCAGUUGGUGAAGCGUCUGCAUGAUCUCAGGGUCCUAGGAUUGAGUCCCGCGUCAGGCUCCCUGCUCAGCCAGGAGUCUGUUUCUCUCUCUCCCCUCUGCCUCUCUCCUUGCUUGUGUUCUCUCUCACUCUCAAAUAAAUAAAGAAAAUCUUUUUUAAAAAAGUGAGAGAGGGGAAGCCCGGGUGGCUCAGCAGUUUAGUGCCGCCUUUGGCCCAGGGUGUGAUCCUAGAGACCUGGGAUCGAGUCCCGCAGUCGGGCUCCCUGCAUGGACCCUGCUUCUCCCUCUGCCUGUGUCUCUGCCUGUCUCUAUCUCUCAUGAAUAAAUAAAAUCUUAAAAAAAAAAAGAGAAUAAAGUCUAAUGAGUCACUGGCUUUAAGAUGAUAUCUAGGCAGACCUGAAGCAUAGACGAUUUGAGGGGUGGGUUUGUUAAGAAAAAAAUGAGAGAAUAAAUACUUGGAUGAUGAGGGACCCCAAAGCUUGAACUUGCUAGCUUCAUGAUGAAGCACCUUUAAUGUAUUGCAAUAAACAAUAAGGGAGCUCCCGGGCCUCUGAAGGGGUUUGUGCUGUUUCUUUCUGGAAAAGAGAAUUUGCAGAGUAAAUGAAGAAAAGACCAAAACAAGAAGGCUUCAAGUUUGGGGAGGCAAAAUGUUGUAAAGCGCAAUAGCACCCCUCCCUCCGAGACAGAGUUUGUAAAAUCUUAAAGUUAACAUCUACAAAAAUGCCAAGGUUUUCCUGGAAAUGUCAGAAAACACCGGGGAGGCACCCUGGUUCCAGAUCUGGAGGUAGGAGCAGAGUGGGAGUGGGGGGUGGGGUGGGCUCGGGCUCACUUCUGCAGAGCCCACCUCCUGCAAGGGGAAAGCACCCUGUCACCUGUGCCCCCAGUGGGGACAGUGGCAGGGUAAGGGAAGAAAGUCAGAAAAGCAGGCAUAUGUCCCUCGUUUGUUAUGUUUAGUCUUUCAGAAAGCGCGCAUCCACACAAGCAAGCGUUGUUUAUAUUCCAUGAAGACAAACCUUUCAUCGCACCUCCAGAGUUUAAAAGCAACCUAUGGAGCAUUUCGAUUUUGCAGUUUCAGUUUCGUGAAACACAACCUGUGCUUCCCUGCUCAGUGGCACGUCAGCCACUCGUCCCGUGCUUCCCUGGGUCCUGGCCCCAAGCUGCAGAAGGGGUCCUCCAUGGGGUGCCCCAGCCCUAGCCCCCAGUGACCCUGAUGAGCUGUUUCAUGCACCUUGCAAUUUCUGACAUUUUGGGCACCUGACUCUUCCGUCUGGAGCUUCAGGCUCUGUUGUCUUCUGGGGGUGCCCUGUGGCCCCUGGGCUGGGAGCUCCUGAGUGUCUGUGGCUAAGCCCCCUUGUCCCUGUCCCCCACCCCAGGGCAGCACGGGUUCAGCCUGUAAUGAGAGGUGGUGCUCAGUCCAUUCUCACUGGUUUAGCCCAUGAGGAGUAUUGGUUUCUUGAAGCCGGAUACACUGCAGUCCAUGAAAAGCCCCCAGGGACUCAUGUCAAAGUUCUGGGCGUGCUCCCUCCAUCUGUCCCAGUGUCUAGCUCCACUGGAUUCUGAGCAGAGAGGACACUCAGCUUUUGAAUUACUCUCCGUGGCUGUGGGCCCCUGUGGCCAGACAGGUCCCAGCCUUGAUGUCACUCUGGGGACGUGACAUCCGAGCACUCAGUGGAGCGCUUCUGGCCUGCUGAGGCAGGGGUUGGAGGCGGAACCAAAGGCUCAAAGCAUUUGGAACUCUGCUCCAGGAUGCCUUCAAGAUGUGGUCCUUUUCCGCAUCCUGCAUCAACCACGCUGAAUAAAUCCCAGGGGCCCACAGUUUAUGUCCAUACCUGGCAGCUGGCGUGCACAGCUCACAUUCCCACUCUGUUUGCACUAACCCAGCACUUAUCAAAGGGCACGGAGGUGGCUAGAGGGGCCUGGCCCACCAGCAGUGUGGUGAGGUGCCCCAGAGCAACCUUGUAACCAGAUGGCCGACUCUUUGGAGAAGGGCCGGGCAAGUAGGACUGCCCAGACCUGACUCCGGACAUUACGAAUCCUUCUUGCCAUUCCCUUAAGCAUUUCUCACAACCUGUCCAUCCUGCAUGCCCGGCUUCUCAGCUCUAAAGCUUCUCAGUUGUUCUGUUAGAGCCCGUGCAAGCAGGAAGAAGUCAUAUCCAGAGGGCAUUUGGGAAUAAAACAGGAUCAGGAAAGAGGAGCAGGGUUGUGAGAUCUGGGGGAAAGUGACAACAAUGAACACCAGCCACAGAUGGACAGGGAUGGCUUGCUUCUCAGACGUGAUUUACAAAGAGGGACAUCUGAGUUCUGAGGGCUCAGCUCGCCAGGGAUGCUCCAGGGCUAGGCUCUGAGUGUAGAAUCCUGAGCUCAGGGAGCCAGGAGGGGAGUGUCCUGCUGAGGACUCCCACCCACACCUGAGCCUCAUUUUCCAGUCUGUAACCACUGGGACUGUAAUACCUAUCACAUGGGGUGACUGCUGGGGUGGGGGAGAUGGCCAUGAAUCAACCACAUGUAUAAGUCAUUUAAAACUAAAGAAAUUAUCUAAAAUGAAAAUGGAUUGCGGUCACUGAAGUUUUCUAAGUGGGCCAGCGCAACUCAUAUCAGUGGGGAUAUAUAUCUCAUUAUUACUGGAACUAGAAGGUUCCAACACUCAGGUCAUGUCCUGGCCACUAGAGCAGUGGUUCCCCAAUUGUGGUCUCCAGACCAGCAGCACCUAGCUUAGAAAUGUAUGUUCUCGGCGCCUGGGUUUACUGUCUGAUUCGGCUCAGGUCAUGAUCUCAUGAAAUCUAGUCCUGAAUCAGGCUCGGCGCUCAGUGGGGAGUCUUUUUUUCCUCUCCCUCUGCUCCCCCCCCCCCCCCCCCCCCCCCCCCCCCCCCCCGCCCACCAGCCAGCUCAC
rnacentral:lncRNA from 1 species